rnacentral:rRNA from 1 species
CCCAGUUCGGAUUGUAGUCUGNAACCCGACUACAUGAAGCUGGAAUCGCUAGUAAUCGCGGAUCAGAAUGCCGCGGUGAAUACGUUCCCGGGUCUUGUACACACCGCCCGUCACACCAUGGGAGUCGGAAAUGCCCGAAGUCUGUGACCCAACCAUUAAGGAGGGAGCAGCCGAAGGCAGGUCGGAUGACUGGGGCGAAGUCGUAACAAGGUAAC